AUGAACGCUGGCGGCGUGCCUAAUCCAUGCAAGUCGAGCGAACGGACGAGAAGCUUGCUUCUCUGAUGUUAGCGGCGGACGGGUGAGUAACACGUGGAUAACCUACCUAUAAGACUGGGAUAACUUCGGGAAACCGGAGCUAAUACCGGAUGAUAUUUUGAACCGCAUGGUUCCAAAGUGAAAGACGGUCUUGCUGUCACUUAUAGAUGGAUCCGCGCUGCAUUAGCUAGUCGGUAAGGUAACGGCUUACCAAGGCAACGAUGCAUAGCCGACCUGAGAGGGUGAUCGGCCACACUGGAACUGAGACACGGUCCAGACUCCUACGGGAGGCAGCAGUAGGGAAUCUUCCGCAAUGGGCGAAAGCCUGACGGAGCAACGCCGCGUGAGUGAUGAAGGUCUUCGGAUCGUAAAACUCUGUUAUUAGGGAAGAACAUAUGUGUAAGUAACUGUGCACAUCUUGACGGUACCUAAUCAGAAAGCCACGGCUAACUACGUG
rnacentral:rRNA from 1 species